UACGAAGGGGGCUAGCGUUGUUCGGAAUUACUGGGCGUAAAGCGCACGUAGGCGGACUACUAAGUCAGGGGUGAAAUCCCGGGGCUCAACCCCGGAACUGCCUUUGAUACUGAUAGUCUCGAGUCCGGAAGAGGUGAGUGGAAUUCCGAGUAUAGAGGUGAAAUUCGUAGAUAUUCGGAGGAACACCAGUGGCGAAGGCGGCUCACUGGUCCGGUACUGACGCUGAGGUGCGAAAGCGUGGGGAGCAAACAGG
rnacentral:rRNA from 1 species